rnacentral:misc_RNA from 1 species
GCCGCUGAUGUCAUCGCGGAAUCACCCGCAGCACUCCAGCUCCGAUACUUACAGACUCUCAACUCAAUCUCCGCCGAGAAAAAUUCGACCAUCAUAUUCCCUCUCCCCAUCAACAUGCUUUCUUCAAUAAUGAAGAAGUAAAUCUUAUGUAUUAUAACCCUUUUAUUGGAUGUUUUACAUGUACCAGGUAUAUGUUUUGUGAUAUCAUCUUUAAUGUGUACUAAAGCAUACAGUGGGCUUUAUUUAAACUUUUUGGGGAUUUCUUAAAAAGAAUUGGAUAUUUACAAAAACAAUAUUUUCAGCAAACUCCAAAACUGUUCUGACUACAUGUUAUUGGUUUUAUCUUAGUUUAUUACUAUGCUCUGUCAAAGAAUAUGUUAUUUAUUUUUUUAAUAUUCCUCUUUGUGGAAAUCCAUGUUUAUGUAGUGUUGUAAUUUUGAAUAAAGGUUCCAACUUUU